GUUGCUGAUGCAGUGUAGAUGUAGUUGCAGUAAAAGCGCAGGCAUUGCUGUUUCCAGUAAGGGUCGCUUUCUCUGCUCAGCACUUUGCACACCCUAAACUGAAGGCAGCUGAGAAAACUCCCUGCUGCUCCUCUGGCUGCCUUUAUGUCUUCUGGUGGUUGGCCCCGCCCCUUUCCCAGGGGAUUGUGGGAAGGGUGGUGGGUGGGGCCCGGGGUAUAUGAGCCACAGCCGCUCAUCAGGGAGCUCAUUCUGUUGCUGGGCUUCUGGGGUGUCGGUGCUCUGCUGUUCCUUCAGUUGAUGGCAGGUUUUGAGUUGUCUAAGCUGUUUGGGUAGAUGUUUGUUGGCAUUUAGAGAAGUAGAGGUGUCUGGGUUUUUUUGCUGUAUGCUGUUUUCCCCACAGCUGACGGGAGGUACGACAAGGUCACGGGAGAUGCGGCGUAAACCAUCUGGGCCUCUGCAUCUCAAUAUGCAGGGCUGAAUGUCAGAUGAGUCUCAUCCCCUAAAGCAUUAGUGCAGGUUUGUGUCAUUGUCUUCCCUGGAAUGUUUUGGAGAAGAGGAUGUGUAUUAUUUGUGCUCCUAACAGUCUGCAGCCAGGGGUCAUCUUUUAUCGCAGUCCCGGGCACGCAAGCUUUUUCUGUUAUUCCAGUUUUGCCUUUUUCCUGAAGUGUCCACUGAGGUUUCCUCUAGUGUCAGUCAUGGCAGUUACGUUCUCUUGUUCUUGUUUACCUAUUGUUUUUGGCACCAGUUUCUGUAGUUGUAAGGUGUCCAUUUUAGAUCUUUGAGUCACCAUGUCACGCCAUUGUGGUUUUUCCAUUGGCCAACUGCCACUGUAAUUCCCUUAGGGGCUUUGUAGAUGCAGCGGGACGAGCUGUGUGCCAAAGGGCAACAGAGGAGACGUGAGCGGAGCGCUGUAAG